CCUACGGGUGGCAGCAGUGGGGAAUAUUGAACAAUGGGCGCAAGCCUGAUGCAGCCAUGCCGCGUGUGUGAAGAAGGCCUUCGGGUUGUAAAGCACUUUCAGCGGGGAGGAAGGCGGUGAGGUUAAUAACCUCAUCGAUUGACGUUACCCGCAGAAGAAGCACCGGCUAACUCCGUGCCAGCAGCCGCGGUAAUACGGAGGGUGCAAGCGUUAAUCGGAAUUACUGGGCGUAAAGCGCACGCAGGCGGUCUGUCAAGUCGGAUGUGAAAUCCCCGGGCUCAACCUGGGAACUGCAUUCGAAACUGGCAGGCUAGAGUCUUGUAGAGGGGGGUAGAAUUCCAGGUGUAGCGGUGAAAUGCGUAGAGAUCUGGAGGAAUACCGGUGGCGAAGGCGGCCCCCUGGACAAAGACUGACGCUCAGGUGCGAAAGCGUGGGGAGCAAACAGGAUUAGAUACCCGGGUAGUC
rnacentral:rRNA from 1 species